rnacentral:tRNA from 1 species
GAGGUUAUAGCUCAGCGGUAGAGUGACUGCCUAGCGUGCACAAAGUCCUGGGUUCAAUCCCCAGGACCUCC